AUUGAACGCUGGCGGCAGGCCUAACACAUGCAAGUCGAGCGGAUGAAGAGAGCUUGCUCCUGGAUUCAGCGGCGGACGGGUGAGUAAUGCCUAGGAAUCUGCCUGGUAGUGGGGGAUAACGUCCGGAAACGGGCGCUAAUACCGCAUACGUCCUGAGGGAGAAAGUGGGGGAUCUUCGGACCUCACGCUAUCAGAUGAGCCUAGGUCGGAUUAGCUAGUUGGUGGGGUAAAGGCCUACCAAGGCGACGAUCCGUAACUGGUCUGAGAGGAUGAUCAGUCACACUGGAACUGAGACACGGUCCAGACUCCUACGGGAGGCAGCAGUGGGGAAUAUUGGACAAAGGGCGAAAGCCUGAUCCAGCCAUGCCGCGUGUGUGAAGAAGGUCUUCGGAUUGUAAAGCACUUUAAGUUGGGAGGAAGGGCAGUAAGUUAAUACCUUGCUGUUUUGACGUUACCAACAGAAUAAGCACCGGCUAACUUCGUG
rnacentral:rRNA from 1 species